CGGAUGGACGCAUCACUGGUGUUCGGGUUGUCAUGCCAAUGGCACUGCCCGGUAGCUAAAUGCGGAAGAGAUAAGUGCUGAAAGCAUCUAAGCACGAAACUUGCCCCGACGAUGAGUUCUCCCUGAGACUUUAAGUCUCCUGAAGGAACGUUGAAGACGACGACGUUGAUAGGCCGGGUGUGUAAGCGCAGCGAUGCGUUGAGCUAACCGGUACUAAUGAACCGUGAGGCUUAACCUUACAACGCCGAAG
rnacentral:rRNA from 1 species